rnacentral:lncRNA from 1 species
AGAAAUAAAUAAAAGCCCAAAGCCCAAACCAACACAAAGGGGCCGGCCCUUUAAAGUGGAGAGGGAGAGAUAUUUAGUCAAGUGGUUAACUAGGUUUCUUUUUUGUCUAUAUAAGGAACAUUAUAGAGAUUUAAUCCUUAGGGUUUUUUGUGUGUUUUAAAACAACAAAGAGGCAAAGAAACAUCUCUCAAAAACCACAAAAGGCCGGCCACCUUGAGGGUGAUUUAGCUAACAAUCUUUCACCCUUUUGGUUAUUUCCUCCAUCCAUCUCACUACACUAGUGGGUGUGGAUAUUUAGAGGUCUUCUCCUUUGGAGACUAAAGGAGAACCUUGGAGCACUCUUACUAACAAAGUGGAGGAGGCAAGGAGGGAGGCUAGGCUCAAGGACUUCAAGGAGCAAAGGACUUGGAGGUGGUCCAUCCUUGGUCUAAAAUCAAGAUCAAGAGGUAUAGAUCUAAACUUUCACUUAGUUCUUUACUUGAAUGUUUUAGAUGCAUUAUAUAUAAACCUAUGAACCUUGAAGGGGAUUUGCAUGACUAUAACUUUGAUAUUAUUUGAUAAAUUGCUUCCGUUGCUCAUGUAUAUAAAUCUUGAAUUGUAUAUGCAUGCUAGUCAUUUAGAAAUCCCAUGUGUUAAGCUCAUAAUUUUCCCUUCAGGGUAACCAUGACAUGCUGCUAGGUGUCACUCAUGGUUUGUGGAAGCCCUGAUGAUUAGAAAAACACUAAUUUUAAGGGAGAAUUGAAAUGUGGUUUCAAUUCACAAUCGAUCGUUAAGAGUAACAAUCGCCCACUACCUCGCUAAAUGGAACCUAAUGGAUCGUACACCGAGUAAGGAUGAAAGUGAAUAAAUUAAAUGAAAUGGAUAUGCAAUUAAAUGGUUUA